UACGGAGGGUGCGAGCGUUGUCCGAAAUCAUUGGGCGUAAAGGGCGCGUAGGUGGCCCGGUCAGUUCGUGGUGAAAGCGCGGGGCUCAACCCUGCGUCGGCCAUGAAUACUGCCGCGGCUGGAGCACUGUAGAGGCAGGCGGAAUUCCGGGUGUAGCGGUGGAAUGCGUAGAGAUCCGGAAGAACACCGGUGGCGAAGGCGGCCUGCUGGGCAGUUGCUGACACUGAGGCGCGGCAGCGUGGGGAGCAAACAGG
rnacentral:rRNA from 1 species